AUCUGUAGCAGUCUAGUUCCUCUCUGUCCUUGGGUUAAGGAGUUGUCUAGUUCCACUCUGUCCUUGGGUUAGGGAGUUGUCUAGUUCCUCUCUGUCCUUGGGUUAGGGAGUUGUCUAGUUCCACUCUGUCCUAGGGUUAGGGAGUUGUCUAGUUCCACUCUGUCCUUGGUUUAGGGAGUUGUCUAGUUCCAUUCUGUCUUAGGGUUAGGGAGUUGUCUAGUUCCACUCUGUCCUUGGGUUAGGGAGUUGUCUAGUUCCACUCUGUCCUUGGGUUAGGGAGUUGUCUAGUUCCACUCUGUCCUUGGGUUAGGGAGUUGUCUAGUUCCACUCUGUCCUUGGGUUAGGGAGUUGUCUAGUUCCACUCUGUCCUUGGGUUAGGGAGUUGUCUAGUUCCACUCUGUCCUUGGUUUAGGGAGUUGUCUAGUUCCUCUCUGUCCUUGGGUUAGGGAGUUGUCUAGUUCCACUCUGUCCUUGGGUUAGGGAGUUGUCUAGUUCCACUCUGUCCUUGGUUUAGGGAGUUGUCUAGUUCCACUCUGUCCUUGGGUUAGGGAGUUGUCUAGUUCCACUCUGUCCUAGGGUUAGGGAGUUGUCUAGUUCUUCUCUGUCUUAGGGAGUAGUCUGGUUCCUCUCUGUCCAAAGGUUAGGGAGAUGUCUAGUUCUUGUUCUAGGGUUAGGGAGUUGUCUAGUUCCUCUCUGUCUUAGGGUUAGGGCAUUGUUUAGUUCCUCUCUGUCCUAGGGUUAGGACAUUGUCUAGUUCCUCUCUGUCCUUGGGUUAGGGAGUUGUCUAAUUCCUGUUCUAGGGUUUGGGCAUUUUUUAUUUCCUCUCUGUUCUAGGAUUAGCGAGUGGUCUAGUUCCUCUCUGUCCUAGGGUUAGGACAUUGUCUAGUUCCUCUCUGUCCUAGGGUUAGCGAGUUGUCUAAUUCCUGUUCUAGGGUUUGGGCAUUUUUUAUUUCCUCUCUGUUCUAGGAUUAGCGAGUGGUCUAGUUCCUCUCUGUCCUAGGGUUAGGGAGUUGUCUAAUUCCUGUUCUAGGGUUUGGGCAUUUUUUAUUUCCUCUCUGUUCUAGGAUUAGCGAGUGGUCUAGUUCCUCUCUGUCCUAGAGUUAGGACAUUGUCUACUUUCUCUCUGUCCUAGGGUUAGGGAGUUGUCUAAUUCCUGUUCUAGGGUUUGGGCAUUGUUUAUUUCCUCUCUGUUCUAGGGUUAGGGAGUUGUCUAGUUCCUCUGUCCUAGGGUUAGGGAGUUCACUAGUUCCUUUGUCCUAGGGUUAGGGAGUUGUCUAGUUCCUCUCGGUUCUAGGGUUAGGGAGUUGUCUAGUUCCUCUCAGUCCAAGGGUGGGGUAGUAGUCCAGUUCCACUCUCUUCAAGGGUUAGGGAGUUGUCUAGUUCCUCUCUUGACCAUUGGCUGUACACUUCUGUGUUCAUUGUCUGGGUGAAUGUAAAGGGUUAUUUUAUCUGGUUGAUCAAGUUGGGACAGUGGGCGGGAACUAGAUGUUAGAGAAGGUGUCAGCCUACAUGCAUGUCCUGGGAAGUGUAGCAGGGGGAGCCAGGUUCUACCUGUUGGACUGAACUGUAGGUCUGGUCCCCUGUUAGGUUGGGGGGAAUCCUCACUUAACUGUGUCUGGAGUCAGAGACCUGUCUAAACGACUGGGUGAUUGGUCAUCUGUUUUUACCUCGCCAGUGGGAGGGCUCUGUGCUCACUGAAGGUCCUUUGAUAAAGACCUGAUAACACAUUGUAUUUCUCUAUAGCUUCUUUAUCACGUUAAGUCUCAUAAUGACAUUAUAUACAGACUGGUCACUGUAUUACAAAUCUGUAGCAAAAUAAGUGCCCAGACCAACCGCAUAGAAAUAAACAAACGUCACUAUACUGACAUGCAGAAAUGCAUACUUAAAAAUGCUCACAGACAUUCACAGGCACUCUCACACGAACAUGCAAACACGCACACAAACCUUGUGUUUGUGUUAGAAUUAAUGGGACACCUUAAAAAUACGUUUGGAUUCAAGAUGUAAUAUACUAAAAGGGACUGUGCUUUCAGAGGUCGAGAGAAUAUGUGACAUUGAAAACAAAAUCUCAUUGAAGAUUGACUCCAUUUAUACAAAAAAGAUUUCUGAAGCAUCGAAGGAAGUGCGAACAGCCAACCUAAAGUUCUCUGUCAGAGGGACCAAUGGAGAGAGACCAAUUAGGAGAGGGGAGGGAAAGAGCGACAAACUGCCAGAUCUUUCUCUUUCCCACCCAAUCCCCCCACUCCUUCCAAAAAUGGCACUCUUUCUACGGAACCACAGGAGAAUAUACGGAGCUGAAGCCCAAAACGGGGAGGAGAGAUAUGCUUACAUCUGUUUUAAUACUAUGAUUGUUCUUACAACAGUUUUUAAACUUAAAUGGGUCUGGAAUACUGCUGUUGAUAUGAAGAGAAUUAUUACUAUAUUCUCAUCACUAUCAUCGUCCUUACUGUUAUAAGCUGCACUUCCCUGUUAUGCCUGUGAUAACUGAGACAGCGCUCUUACGGUUUUGGGCAACAUUGUAAUUCCAUCAUUUUGCAGUAAGUCAAUAUAAUCCCAG
ensembl:lncRNA